rnacentral:rRNA from 1 species
GACGAACGCUGGCGGCGUGCUUAACACAUGCAAGUCGAACGGAAAGGCCCUGCUUUUGUGGGGUGCUCGAGUGGCGAACGGGUGAGUAGCACGUGAGUAACCUGCCCUUGACUUUGGGAUAACUUCAGGAAACUGGGGCUAAUACCGGAUAGGAGCUCCUGCUGCAUGGUGGGGGUUGGAAAGUUUCGGCGGUUGGGGAUGGACUGGCGGCUUAUCAGCUUGUUGGUGGGGUAGUGGCUUACCAAGGCUUUGACGGGUAGCCGGCCUGAGAGGGUGACCGGCCACAUUGGGACUGAGAUACGGCCCAGACUCCUACGGGAGGCAGCAGUGGGGAAUAUUGCACAAUGGGCGGAAGCCUGAUGCAGCAACGCCGCGUGCGGGAUGACGGCCUUCGGGUUGUAAACCGCUUUCGCCUGUGACGAAGCGUGAGUGACGGUAAUGGGUAAAGAAGCACCGGCUAACUACGUG